rnacentral:rRNA from 1 species
AUGACGUCGGCGAUCCGCUCCGCUGCGGCGCUCCGUCAGCGGCUUCCACGCCUCCUGUCCUCCGCCACAAGAUCUGUGCCGCGAGCGCUUGAGGAGGAGCGGCGCUUUCUGUUCCGGCGCGCCGGCCCGCCGGCCAUGGGGGAUCCUCGACUUUUCAGCUCCAGUUCCACCGGGAAGUCCUACACGCAUCCUUGUAAACUCAACCUGCGGCACAAAAAGCAAUCCCUGGAGGACAGCUUGGCAUACCUUAACAGGAUGGCGAAGAAGGAAGCUCGUGACUGGAGAGAGAUGAGGCAACAUCUUGAAGCAUCGGAGCAAAGACAAAUAGAGCUCGAGAAAGUGUACAAGCGACAGGAUAGGGUGGUAAAUUGUGCCGCUGCCGCUCUAUUCCUUGCCUUGUUAGCCGGCAAUGUGUUCUUUGGUUGA